GACGAACGCUGGCGGCGUGCUUAACACAUGCAAGUCGAACGGGAAGAAAAGAAAGAGCUUGCUCUUUUUUGGAAUCUAGUGGCAAACGGGUGAGUAACACGUAAACAACCUGCCUUCAGGAUGGGGACAACAGACGGAAACGACUGCUAAUACCGAAUACCUUCCAAUUUCCGCAUGGAGAUAGGAAGAAAGGGUGGCCUCUACUUGUAAGCUAUCGCCUGAAGAGGGGUUUGCGUCUGAUUAGCUAGUUGGUGAGGUAACGGCCCACCAAGGCGACGAUCAGUAGCCGGUCUGAGAGGAUGAACGGCCACACUGGAACUGAGACACGGUCCAGACUCCUACGGGAGGCAGCAGUGGGGAAUCUUCCGCAAUGGACGAAAGUCUGACGGAGCAACGCCGCGUGAACGAUGAAGGUCUUCGGAUUGUAAAGUUCUGUGAUCCGGGACGAAGGCAUUGAUUGAGAACAUUGAUUGAUGUUGACGGUACCGGAAAAGCAAGCCACGGCUAACUACGUGCCAGCAGCCGCGGUAAUACGUAGGUGGCAAGCGUUGUCCGGAAUUAUUGGGCGUAAAGCGCGCGCAGGCGGCCGUGCAAGUCCAUCUUAAAAGCGUGGGGCUUAACCCCAUGAGGGGAUGGAAACUGCAUGGCUGGAGUGUCGGAGGGGAAAGUGGAAUUCCUAGUGUAGCGGUGAAAUGCGUAGAGAUUAGGAAGAACACCGGUGGCGAAGGCGACUUUCUAGACGACAACUGACGCUGAGGCGCGAAAGCGUGGGGAGCAAACAGG
rnacentral:rRNA from 1 species